rnacentral:rRNA from 1 species
GACGUAGGGGGCAAGCGUUAUUCGGAAUUAUUGGGCGUAAAGCGCUCGUAGGCGGGACUGGAAGUCCGUGUUGAAAGACCUCGGCUCAACUGAGGGACCGGCUCGGAUACUCUAGUUCUUGAGGCAAUCAGAGGGUGAUGGAAUUCCCGGUGUAGCGGUGAAAUGCGUAGAGAUCGGGAGGAACAUCAGUUGCGAAGGCGGCUCUCUGGACCAGCACUGACACUGAGGCACGAAAGCGUGGGGAGCAAACAGG